rnacentral:lncRNA from 1 species
CAGGGGCCAGGGGGGCCUUGCUUAUAUAGUCCUCCCCUUCUAUGCGUUUUUGGGUCAAUAGGCGAGGUGGUACUAUGUUUUUCUUGAUCCAAUAGGUCGGUGGAAUAUCCCGAGCAAAAGAGUCCUGAUUUGGCUCCAACAGGGGGGCGGGCGCCCUGGGCCUGGCCCAGUUUUGCCUCCGCUUCGGUCUCGUGGCUUCUGGAGUCUUCUAGAUGAUGUAAAAUUGCGCGGUGCGUUGAUAUCUCUAUGUAAUCCCGACAUGUGGGCCUUUCUUCCUUAUUUCCUGAUAACCCCCUGCAGAAAUAGAUAAACAACAAAACUCGUGGAAUUCUGUCAGAUCAAACCCUAUUUCUAGGUGUUGGUUGCAUAUUGGUCCUUUCUCAUGUUUAUUUGAUAAUUAAAAUUGAUACUUAAGAACCGUCAACAAAUACCCCCAUACUUAGGCUUUUACUCGUCCUCGAGAAAAGGAUGGUUAAGAACAAUAUCUGGGGUAAAUAUUUAAAACAUUCUCUUUAUAAUUUGCAGGGUGUUAAAAAUUCCACUGUGUACCAUAGUCAGGGAAGUUUAUGAUCAAGAGUAAAGAUUCUUUCUUUUCAAUCCUGUCACUUGGAGUUUUUGUAUAUUUUUGAAAGAAAGUUAGCAUACCUUUUGAUCCUCAUAGGUUCUCUCAGAUCACUCAUUAUCUUUUAUAUAUAUCUCACUGAGGUUGUUUUAUUUUUUUUUGCAAAAAUUCUCAAGCAUUCUUACUUUGCAUUUAUUGCCUGAUCAAAACGGGAUCCGAGGAGGGGAAUGUCAUACUCUUAGAUCAAAGACUUUGGAAAUUAAAAACUUUGUCAACUCUUGCUGGCAUAUUGCUUAUUAGAGGGACCAUGGGCUAUCAUUUUUUUCUCCUCUCUCUUUUUUUUAAGUGGAUACCGAGGUACUCCUAAAUCUACUGCUGGACACUUGUCCAUUUUUUCUGCGAGGUUGUCGAGCACUUGCUCCUUUUUAUUUCCUCGAAAUAUCUCUAUUUUUGCAUAGCCCAUGCCUCUAAUGCAAUAAUACUUCGGAAGAGUGAAUCUUACGGAAUUAAUGUCUUGAUCUUAGGAGCAUGAUAAAUCUCUCAACAAGGGUCUAACUCAUUUGGAACAAACUCAAUACAGAGCAGAAAGCUUUUUAUAGUUAUAAUUAAUAUUUUCAGUUUUAUCAGGCAUAUAAAACAUUGAGGAUGGUAGCU